rnacentral:rRNA from 1 species
CUUUAAGGGGCCUGAAGGAACGUUGAAGACGACGACGUUGAUAGGCCGGGUGUGUAAGCGCAGCGAUGCGUUGAGCUAACCGGUACUAAUGAACCGUGAGGCUUAACCUUACAACGCCGAAGGUGUUU